GAGGCUAAAUGAGCUUGCCGCAUGACUUGAACAGAUACCCCUGUUGCACUGUUGCCAGAAGGACAGUCAUGAACAAUAUGCCAUUGUGUCACUUUGUUCAGGUGUCCAGAUCCCCAUUGUCGCCAUAUCGGUGCUAACCAAGAUGAGAACUACAAUCAUGAUGACAAUACUAAGAAACGGGGCUAGAUGGGUGUAAUAAGAAAAUGUGCAUGCCAUGCAGCAAUAAUAGUCGACAACUAGACUGGAAACUGGAAUAGAUUACUAGAGCUUGAGAAUGUUGCAUGUGCUCAUGGUGCCUGAAGCCCUGAUAGAACAUGAGCUCGAGCAUUGCAACAAGUGAACACACAAACAAUGUUGCGAACUGUUGCCGUCAUGAAUCACUAAUUCGUUCAAAACGAGGAAAUGAUGAGACAGCAUGAUUGAGAUGAGAAGCAUGACUGUUUGGUUUAGAAAAUAGAGCAAGAGGGGGCACACGGACAGCUAAAUAAUGGUAAUAAAACAAUUUCCUGACUGUGUUAUGCUA